rnacentral:ribozyme from 14 species
AAAAAAGCAAAAGAAAUAGAAAAAGAAGGGUCUAGAAUUUUUAGGAACCUUGUUAUAAUUUAUUUAUUUGUAUCAUAUCAUUAUAUAUAUAUUCUUCAUUUUUUUUAGCAUUUUCAUUGUAGCAUUGACAACAGCAGCACACCACCAUUGUGGCACCAUGUGCAUGAAAAUAAAAGAUAAUAAUACAAUAAGCGCUUCCUCAUCUAUACAAUUCAAUAAUAAAAAUAAAA